rnacentral:rRNA from 1 species
UUCCAGACUCCUACGGGAGGCAGCAGUGGGGAAUAUUGGACAAUGGGGGGAACCCUGAUCCAGCGACGCCGCGUGAGUGAAGAAGUAUUUCGGUAUGUAAAGCUCUAUCAGCAGGGAAGAAAGAAAUGACGGUACCUGACUAAGAAGCCCCGGCUAACUACGUGCCAGCAGCCGCGGUAAUACGUAGGGGGCAAGCGUUAUCCGGAUUUACUGGGUGUAAAGGGCGUGUAGCCGGGCUGACAAGUCAGAUGUGAAAUCCGGGGGCUCAACCCCCGAACUGCAUUUGAAACUGUUGGUCUUGAGUAUCGGAGAGGCAGGCGGAAUUCCUAGUGUAGCGGUGAAAUGCGUAGAUAUUAGGAGGAACACCAGUGGCGAAGGCGGCCUGCUGGACGAUGACUGACGUUGAGGCUCGAAAGCGUGGGGAGCAAACAGGAUUAGAUACCCCCGUAC